rnacentral:rRNA from 1 species
UUUUCCUACGGGGGGCAGCAGUGGGGGAUAUUGCACAAUGGGGGGAACCCUGAUGCAGCGACGCCGCGUGGGUGAAGAAGCGCCUCGGCGCGUAAAGCCCUGUCAGCAGGGAAGAAAAUGACGGUACCUGAAGAAGAAGCCCCGGCUAACUACGUGCCAGCAGCCGCGGUAAUCCGUAGGGGCAAGCGUUAUCCGGAUUUACUGGGUGUAAAGGGGGCGCAGACGGCGAUGCAAGCCUGGCGUGAAAGCCCGGGGCUCAACCCCGG